rnacentral:rRNA from 1 species
GACGAACCACACAAACGUUGUUCGGAAUCACUGGGCUUAAAGGGCGCGUAGGCGGGCCGCCAAGUCGCGGUGAAAUCCCCCGGCUCAACCGGGGAAUUGCCGCGGAUACUGGAGGUCUCGAGGGGGGUAGGGCAUGCGGAACUGCGGGUGGAGCGGUGAAAUGCGUUGAUAUCCGCAGGAACUCCGGUGGCGAAGGCGGCGUGCUGGACCCUUCUGACGCUGAGGCGCGAAAGCCAGGGGAGCGAACGGG